rnacentral:rRNA from 1 species
GAAAUGGAUUAGCGGCGAACGGGUGAGGAACACGUGAAGAAUCUGCCCUCCACUUUGGGAUAACACCGGGAAACCGGUGCUAAUACCGAAUAUUGAAACAUAAGUGGCAUCACUGAGUUUUGAAAGAAUUUCGGUGGAGGAUGACUUCGCGGCCUAUCAGCUAGUUGGUGAGGUAAUGGCUCACCAAGGCAACGACGGGUAGCCGGCCUGAGAGGGCGACCGGCCACACUGGGACUGAGACACGGCCCAGACUCCUACGGGAGGCAGCAGUGGGGAAUAUUGGGCAAUGGAGGAAACUCUGACCCAGCGACGCCGCGUGCGGGAUGAAGGCCUUCGGGUUGUAAACCGCUUUCAGUAGGGAAGAAGCGAAAGUGACGGUACCUACAAAAGAAGCACCGGCUAACUAUGUGCCAGCAGCCGCGGUAAUACAUAGGGUGCAAGCGUUGUCCGGAAUUAUUGGGCGUAAAGAGCUCGUAGGUCGUUUGUUACGUCGGAUGUGAAAACCUGAGGCUCAACCUCAGGCCUGCAUUCGAUACGGGCAAACUAGAGUUUGGUAGGGGAGACUGGAAUUCCUGGUGUAGCGGUGGAAUGCGCAGAUAUCAGGAGGAACACCAAUGGCGAAGGCAGGUCUCUGGGCCAAUACUGACACUGAGGAGCGAAAGUCUGGGGAGCGAACAGGAUUAGAUACCCUGGUAGUCCAGACCGUAAACGGUGGGCACUAGUUGUGGGAACCUUCCACGGUUUCUGCGACGCAGCUAACGCAUUAAGUGCCCCGCCUGGGGAGUACGAUCGCAAGAUUAAAACUCAAGGAAUUGACGGGGCCCCGCACAAGCAGCGGAGCAUGCGGCUUAAUUCGACGCAACGCGAAGAUCUUACCAAGGCUUGACAUAUAGGGAAAAGUGGCGGAGAUGUCAUGUCCGCAAGGGCUCUAUACAGUGGU